AGAGGUUGGAAAAGUGAGGUCCAGAGAGGCUUAGCUGGCUGAGUGUGACUGAGAAGAAAAGGCUUGGGGCUGCAAACUCCACAGAGAUAAAGUUCUACAGAUCAAAAGUCUAACACUGGUGUUAUUGGGCUGAAAUCCAGGCGAUGGCAGAGCUGCGCUCCUUUCUGGAGGCUCCGGGGAGAAUUCUCUUCCUUAACCUUUCAAGCUUCUCGAGGCCCUCUGCACUCCCUGGAGACAGGAGGAGAGAAGAAUCAUGGACUCCCUGGGCACAGCACCGCAGGUGGCUUUGCCAGUUCUCCCAGCCCCGCGCUGCUCCUGCGCCUGCGCUGAGCCUCCACGUGUCCUCAGGAGACUUAGCCUAGCCUGGGUAUCACCAGCAGUGGGCCAGGCCGCUUUGCCUUCAACUCCCAACAGUAACCUUGCAGAGGUCAGCCUGGGGCCACCAGGAGGAGUUAGUAAGAGCUUAUCCUGUGGGGGCACUCACUGGGGCUGGUGGCCGGGAAAUCCCAGGUGUUUUGUUGGUUUGAGUUUUGUUGUGUUUUUAUUUUUCUUCCGCUGAGAUCAGGACUGAAGCAGGGACGCAGUGCUCAGCACGCCCAGCCCACCGCGGGCCACUGCGCGGAGAACCUCUGCCAGGGUCGCCUGCUCACGUCCCCUAAUCCGCUCCUGGCGCGCGUUCCUGUCCUCCUCCUGCUGUGACUAGUGUGCAUGGAAGGGCACAGUGGUGGCAGAAAGACUUGUGGCGAGAUAUCAAGAUCCACAGGAAGUCAUAAGAGAAAAAGCAUUUUGUUUGAACUCCACCCACUGACCUUUUGUGGGUGAGCUUUCGGUGAAACAGCAACAUCCUCAGAAAUCUUAGAGACACGGCUUUGUAACCCGGGGGAGAGACACCGCUUCCAAAUAUAAUUGACGUGGCUUUCCUGCCUUAAUUCGGGGUAUCCUUUUUCCACCACAUAAUCUUCCCUUUGUCCGCGCUGAUUCCUGUUUAGUUUGGCAGGGCCAGCUGCUGGCAGGCUCCCCCAGUGCUGAAUGCUCCGCGCUCCACUGUGCUGGGCCUGCUGAAAAAGCAGACAGCGCUCCCUCUCCCCCAGAAUCAGGAGCCAAAUGCCACACCGAUUGUGCAACUUGUCUCUGGUUACCAGGAAAACGUAAAGAAAUGCCAAUGAAGCAGAAAGGUCGACAAAAUUCUUUCCAACGCUUGAACAAAAAAGGUAUUUUUAGGGCCCUAGAUUUAUGGAAGUCAAUUCUUCCACUCCUCGCCAGGCUUUCAAACCUCCUAUUCUUUGCACUACAUUAUUUGAAUAAACCGUAAAUACCCUUAGUUGCUCUAAUAGCAACUGCUGGUCCAUAUUGUGCAAGGCGGCCAUGGUCUGAAGACCUUGUUGAAUUUGAAAGACAGAAGUUCCGUUUCUGGCACAUAAACUUGAAUCAGGGCUAUAGUUAAGAGUGCCAGUGAGGUCCACAUUUUGACAGCUAGAUAAGCAGGUCAUUUAUUCAAAAGGACUUUGAAUCCAUGCCCAGAGUCAAAUGCAGUCCUUUGUAAAGCCCAGCAGGCUUGAAAUAAAAACUUCUUAACUGAGUUGAUCAGUGUCCUGCAUUUUAGGGGUCAGGAAAGUAUUUAUGAUAAGUUGGAAAUGGACAGGGCAGGAAAUUCUGGGCCUGGAAGGAUGGCUUCCUCACCAGGGACCGCACCACCAUAUUUUCUAAUUUGUGUCUUGAGGGAAAGUUUAUAUUUUUUGCUGAAAAUAUUAUCUCCUUGUGACAAAACCACAAGUCUGGGAAGAGAACACAAAAGGAAUAAAGAACAAAUGAGAUCUGUGAUGCCUCCUGGAUAAAACUUUAAAAACCCAUAGGCAUUGAUCAAUCCAAUUUACUGAAUAAAUAUGUACCAGGUGUUGUGUUAGGUUCUAAGGGGCUAAAAUAACUAAGAUACUGAACUAAAGUAGAACUAUUGGGCUCCUAAUGUGAUAGUUUUUCCACUAUAGACAGCCCUCUUCUUCCAAGGGUCCCUGCCAGGGCUUCCCCUACCCUAAACAGUGCCUUGGUAAAAAUUAGGAAAGUCACCCCUUCCUUAAGACACUUGACUUUCCAACAGUGCCUUGGUAAGAAUUAGGCGAGUCCUUAAGACACUUGACUUUCCUCUGGCAGAAAAUUGCAAAGAAAGUGUGCACAAACCUACAAUGUGAAUGAUGCCUUCCUGUGUGUGUGUGCCUUUGUUUAGGGCACAACCUGACCGGUCUGAUCAUCAGACACGGUGAUCCACACUCAAGAUGGGAAAGAAAGCCAGGGGCACAGCCUCCUGGAAGCCCCUACUCCCUGCCUCAUCCACACCUUGUUGCAAAAACCGCACCAUCCUUUAAGACUUCUCCAUGAAGCAUCACUUCAGGGAGGCUGUUUUCUUUUUCUCUUGUCUAUUCCCCUUCUGGGAAUAUACCCAUUCACCCUGGCCAUCAGACAGCCCUGUAUAUGUCAACCCAAGGUCUCACUCAAGCUCUCUCUCAAAGGGCUCCUGGGCCCCAUGCAAAUUUAGAAUGGAGUAAAUUUGCAUUAAACAGUUUAAUGUGUUGCAGAAAAUAUCAGAGAAUGGCAAACUCCUGUGGCCUGGACUUCUCAGAGUACACAAAAGACCGAAGACUGUUCUAACUUCACAGAUGUUCUGUCAAAGGCUCAUGUGGCCCCCCAGAUAAUCUGUUAUGCAAGUAAAAACAGUUAAUAAGUUGCCUAAAGGCUCGUCUUCCAGUCAUUUUUUCCUCUUUAGAUCUGAAAGAACUCUUUUGAGCAACUUCAAAGUUCAAAUUGUGGUAUUAAGUUUGAGUUGAAAUGGGUCCUUUCUCUUUUUCUCAGAAUUAUACUGAAAUGAAUGUGCUCUGCUGCAUCCUGGCAUGCACUGGAGAUGGGGGUUAGGUCAAAAAUGAAUAGGAUGGUUCCUGCCUUCAAGCAGCCAAUAGGAAUAAAAAUACUUUGCAUGUGUAGUUUCCAAAUUGUUUUCACAUAUAUCACAACACCCACAGCAGCUUUGAGAGGGAGAUGUUAUUACAUAUAUUUUAUAGGUAAAGUGGAUGAGGCUCAGAAAGGGUGAGUCUAAGCUUACACAGUAGUGAAUUGAAGUGACACCCGAAACUCUGCUCUAAAUUUUAUCUUUCCCCAGGCUGAAGCUAUAGUCCACAGAGCAAAGUAGUGUGAUUAGUGUCACCUUAGUAGUGCAAACAAAGUUGUGGGCACAGAAUUAGAGGGAGUAGUUUUCCCUGAGGGUGCAGUAAGGUGGUGUGAGGAAUGGGGAAAUGGAAGAGAGAAGAGAUAGGGUUGCAACUGGUGAGUCCCAGAGGAAGGGCGAAUGGCAGCAGGAAUGGCCUGGCUUAGCCAAGCACCCAGAAAGGAGAAAGUCAGGCCUUGGUGAAUGUUGAGUGGAUAACCAAGCACCAUUGGUCUGGAAGCUUGAGGGCUGGUCUGGAGGCUUGCAGGCUGUCAAACUCUUGAAGGAGUGAGAGAAUGAAGGUCCUGACAGGACAGGCUUUGAGCAUAAAGUGAUUUCAGUGGACGUGGGAGCCACUCGGAUAGUGACAAGCUCAGAUUUGUGUUUGGUGGAGAAAUGUUAAUUUAGCAGCAGGGUGAGGAAGGGAUUAUCAGAAGGGGUGGGAAAGGACACAAAAGAACUUCCAGGUCCUUUUAGGGCUAAAAGUGCAGAUGUGAGAUCUCAACCCAGGCAGCAACAGUGGGAGCAGAAGGCAGGGGAGAAGCAUG
rnacentral:lncRNA from 1 species